GNNNNGANNNCUACUGCUCGUACACGUGGACACCUACCCUCCGGACGGGUAUAAACCCGGGAAACUGGGUAUAAUCCCCGAUAGAUCUCGGUCGCUGGAAUGCCCCGAGAUCGAAAGCUCCGGCGCCAGAGGAUGGGUCUGCGGCCUAUCAGGUAGUAGUGGGUGUAGCGUACCUACUAGCCUACGACGGGUACGGGUUGUGAGAGCAAGAGCCCGGAGAUGGAUUCUGAGACACGAAUCCAGGCCCUACGGGGUGCAGCAGGCGCGAAAACUUUACAAUGCCGGCAACGGCGAUAAGGGGACCUCGAGUGCCAGGUUACAAAUCUGGCUGUCGUGAUGCCUAAAAAGCAUUGCAUAGCAAGGGCCGGGCAAGACCGGUGCCAGCCGCCGCGGUAACACCGGCGGCUCGAGUGGUAACCGUUAUUAUUGGGUCUAAAGGGUCUGUAGCCGGCCGGAUAAGUCUCUUGAGAAAUCCAGCAGCUCAACUGUUGGGCUUUCAGGAGAUACUGUUCGGCUCGAGGCCGGGAGAGGUGAGAGGUACUUCAGGGGUAGGGGUGAAAUCUUGUAAUCCUUGAAGGACCACCAGUGGCGAAGGCGUCUCACCAGAACGGACCUGACGGCAAGGGACGAAAGCUAGGGGCACGAACCGGAUUAGAUACCCGGGUAGUCCUAGCCGUAAACGAUACUCGCUAGGUGUCGGCCACGGUGCGACCGUUGUCGGUGCCGUAGGGAAGCCGUGAAGCGAGCCACCUGGGAAGUACGGCCGCAAGGCUGAAACUUAAAGGAAUUGGCGGGGGAGCACCACAACGGGUGGAGCUUGCGGUUUAAUUGGAUUCAACGCCGGAAAUCUUACCGGGACCGACAGCAAUAUGAAGGCCCAGGCUGAAGACUUUGCCGGAUUAGCUGAGAGGUGGUGCAUGGCCGUCGUCAGUUCGUACUGUGAAGCAUCCUGUUAAGUCAGGCAACGAGCCGAGGACCCG
rnacentral:rRNA from 1 species